ACGGAGGAUCCAAGCGUUAUCCGGAUUCAUUGGGUUUAAAGGGUGCGUAGGCGGAUUGGUAAGUCAGUGGUGAAAUCCUGCAGCUUAACUGUAGAACUGCCAUUGAUACUGCCAAUCUUGAGUACAUAUGAAGCGGGCGGAAUGUGUUAUGUAGCGGUGAAAUGCUUAGAUAUGACACAGAACACCAAUUGCGAAGGCAGCUCGCUAAACUGUAACUGACGCUGAGGCACGAAAGCGUGGGGAGCAAACAGGAUUAGAUACCCUGGUAGUCCACGCUGUAAACGAUGAUUACUCGAUGUGUGCGAUACACAGUACGCGUCUUAGCGAAAGCGUUAAGUAAUCCACCUGGGGAGUACGGUCGCAAGAUUG
rnacentral:rRNA from 1 species